rnacentral:rRNA from 1 species
AUUGAACGCUGGCGGCAGGCCUAACACAUGCAAGUCGAGCGGAUGAAGGAAGCUUGCUUCCCGAUUCAGCGGCGGACGGGUGAGUAAUGCCUAGGAAUCUGCCUAUUAGUGGGGGAUAACUCGGGGAAACUCGGGCUAAUACCGCAUACGUCCUACGGGAGAAAGUGGGGGAUCUUCGGACCUCACGCUAAUAGAUGAGCCUAGGUCGGAUUAGCUAGUUGGUGGGGUAAUGGCUCACCAAGGCGACGAUCCGUAACUGGUCUGAGAGGAUGAUCAGUCACACUGGAACUGAGACACGGUCCAGACUCCUACGGGAGGCAGCAGUGGGGAAUAUUGGACGAUGGGCGAAAGCCUGAUCCAGCCAUACCGCGUGUGUGAAGAAGGUCUUCGGAUUGUAAAGCACUUUAAGUCGGGAGGAAGGGCUGUAGGUUAAUACCCUGCGGUUUUGACGUUACCGACAGAAUAAGCACCGGCUAACUCUGUGCCAGCAGCCGCCGUAA